UAACGGUUCAACCUGAAAUCUACAAUUGUACCUGUCAAUUUCAAAGCCCUGCUUAAUAGAGCCUCUGUAUUUUCAAUUGGCAUGGUAUCACUGUUAAGCCUAUUUUUAGUUUUCCCAGUUAGUAAAACUGUUUCAUCUGGCAUAAAGUAUAAUAAACUGCAACUUAUUCAAAUUCAUCUCAUACCCACCAAGUGCUCAGCUCAGAGAACACCUGUGGCUGGCUGGGGCAUCUUGAGUUAAGCACAAAUUACUGAUACUUAGAUUUUAAGUUCUUUAUAGCCACAUUCCAUUUUAUGUCUUUGAGUAUUUACACCCUUACAACCAAGCUUGCAUACUCAGCACCUCCUUUAAAGGUUUACUGGUAGCUUAUAAAGCCUGACUUGUUUAUCAUCUAUGGAGGUAGAUCUUGGCCCACAUUCUCUAGAAUUUUAUCUCGAGGUGUAUGUUCCUGUUUUCCCUGUAAAAUCUCAGAUGCCUGAGAAAGUUUGCUAUUUUUUCAGCACUGUUGGCCAUACCUUUUGACAUAUUAAAGCAGGUUUUGAGGAACAAAGCCUACAGUAACAAAGCAGAAAUUAACAGAAGGUUCAGAAAGGUUAGUUUGUUACCAGUUUAGCCAUAGCAUUGACAUUAUUUAUUCACUGUAAAAAAAAAAAGGAACACUCAGAAAGAGCUCCAGAAACACUUGGAGGCAGCAGGUGCCAUCGUCACAGAGAAAACAAUAGGCAAUGCACUCCACUGCUCAUGCUCACCCCACAAGACUCUAUUACUAAAGAAAAGGCAUGUCAAAGCUUGUUUAAAGUUUGCUAUAACUCAUUUGAUCAAAUCUAUGAAAUACUGGGAGAGUGUAGAGUGCACACCAUGUUUGGAGACGAAAUGACACUGCACAUCUCUCUUAAAACACUAUACCAACAGUGAAGUUUGGAGGUGGAAGCAUCAUGGUGUGGGGCUGUUUUUCAUUGCGUGGUACUGGUAGACUUCAUAUGAACAAUGAAUGAAUGGAGCCCUUUACCCGGAAAUUCUUGAGAAGAAUCUGCUGCCAUCUACCAGAAUGAUGAUGAGACAUUGUUACGAUCUAAAGCAUACAGCAAAGGAAACUCUCAAUUGAUUUCAGAGAAAUAAAAUCCAGGUGUUAGAAUGGCCCAGUCAGUCACCUGACUUGAAUACAAUUGAACAAGAUUUAAAGACAAUAUGUUUAGAAGAACGGGACAAAAUCACAUCUGAAUACUGCAGCUGAUUAAUUUCUUCAUACGGGAAGCGUCUUGAGGCUGUCAUUACAAACAAAGGCUUCUCCACUAAGUAUUAAAUAAAUUUCAGUUAGUGUGUUCAAUACUUUUUUCCUGUGUCUUUAUUACACAACUUUAUUUAAGGACUUUAAUGUUGUGAAUUCUUUAUAUUUCUGGAUUUCUUUAGUUAAUACUGAUGUCUGGUGAAAAUUUCAUGUGAAUAGCCAUUGGAAAUAUAUUUACUGAAAAAAAAAUGUUGACACGUCCAAUACUUAUUUCCCCCACUGUAUAUAGACACCUUAAAACUUUACUUUCUCAGCUAAAGCAGCGGUCAAACCAAACGUGAAUAAAAGCCAAUUCCCUGAGAGGAAAGGAUGCGGGAUGAAAAACCUUUGCCUCAUGCCAACUAUUUAGGGGAACCUGUGAAUUGGUGAACCUUGGUUUUGUGAGGCAGUAGAAAAUCAGAAGGUGAGACUUUGGUCGGUCAUUUUCCUUGACGUUUUCUUACUUUUGCUUGAGCGUUAUUAGAAAAUAUAUAGCUGUUGAGGGAAUCAACUGAUGAACAAAAAGUUUGAUUUAUGGACAGUCAUCAAAAUUCACACGCCAAAGUUGUUUUGUUUUGGUUUUUUUUUUAAUAGAAAAAAAAAAUCAGGGUAAACACUAAGUUGCAUUGAGCAUUGCCUACAUAUACCGAAAUAAAAUAAACAACAGCAGCAAUCAGCUAUUUGAAAAUCAGUUUCCAACGUUCACCUAAAACAGUGGACUUGUUCUCGAACAACAAUUCACUACAUUGUUCUUGUUACUUUAUUCGUGGCUUCAGCAUACAGGUCAACUCUCCCAAUGGCCAUUCUGGGCUUGCUUGUCAGCUACUGUUGGUGGUGGUGGUGGUGGUAGUAGUAGUAGUAGGAGGAGGAGGAGGAGGAGGAGGAGGAGGGUUAAUUAUGUCCUGAGAAUAGUUGGUUUUACCAGUUGUGAUGCUAUAAGAGGAGGUGGCUCUGACUCACACACUCCUCUUCAGAUGGGUUUGGAGUUUACUCUGUGACCUGAUCUAAAGGAGAAAGCACAGAGGGUACAGAGACAAGUAGUUAACAUGAAGCAAAUGUUAUCAGUGUAUUUUUUAUUUUUUUUACUCCAAGAAAGCACUCAUUUGUAAGCAAGAAAACCGAGAAAGUCAGUGAGCAGUUGUAGGUUGAGGAGCAGGGAAUGUUCAGUUCAGGGAUGGAAGCAAGCACUUUUACUCCUCAAGUCUGAUCUGGUCAGUGAUGAAUAUUGGCACAUCCUUACUUCUAUCAUGCUUAAGAGAAACUGACUGGUAGUUUGGAAUAGUGAUCAUUGAUUUCUCUCUCCUCUUGUAGGUGAAGUUGCAGCAUUCACCUGUCCAGUACUCUAUGAAAAACACAAGACGCAGAUUGAUCAUUACUAUGGACUGGUGAACAGCCACCUCCAAGACGUAGUGAAAAAGUAAGAGCGAAGACCUAUUGGUGUUUAGUUUAUUUUCUUUUAAGCAUUAGAAGACAUUUAUGCAGAUUGAUACAGUUACACAGAAUACACGGAUUAAAGUUGUCUCUCUAAAUCAUUACAUUAAUCUUAUAGAGGUCAUUUCUGAGUUUAACGGACAGUAUAUUUGCAAAAAUAUUUCUUUUCCACAGGGAUGGGUUUGUUCAUACAUUUCACAUUAUUUGCUAAAAAUAAACCACUACACUGUCAAUUAUUUUAAGUUCAAUGGUUUUUGUGGUACAGACACACACGAUGUCAAACAGCAGGGGCAGUUCUACAGCAUGACAGCUGGUGCCUCCUCUGUGGCACUUGACACUCUAAUUAGCGAGCUACUUCUGUACCCCCUAAAGUAAUUUUAUUAAGCACAAAUUGACGGUACUGUCAGAGCCUCUAAAUUUGCAAACCACAUGAGGA
ensembl:lncRNA